UGGAGGAGAACAGGUGAAGGUUGGAGAGCAGGUGAAGGAUGGAGGAGAAUAGGUGAAGGUUGGAGGAGAAUAGGUGAAGGUUGGAGGAGAACAGGUGAAGGUUGAAGAAAAGCUGGAGGGUGGAGGAGAACAGCUGAAGGUUGGAGGAGAACAGGUGAAGGUUGGAGAGCAGGUGAAGGAUGGAGGAGAAUAGGUGAAGGUUGGAGGAGAACAGGUGAAGGUUGAAGAAAAGCUGGAGGGUGGAGGAGAACAGCUGAAGGUUGGAGAGCAGGUGAAGGUUGGAGGAGAACAGGUGGAGGUUGGAGAACAGCUGGAGGUUGGAGGAGAACAGGUGGAGGUUGGAGAACAGCUGGAGGUUGGAGGAGAACAGGUGAAGGUUGGAGAACAGGUGAAGGUUGGAGGAGAACAG